rnacentral:rRNA from 1 species
UGGCUCAGGACGAACGCUGGCGGCACGCUUAACACAUGCAAGUCGAACGGAGAUAAUUUGAGUUUACUUGGAUUAUCUUAGUGGCGGACGGGUGAGUAACACGUGAGCAACCUGCCUUUGAGAGAGGGAUAGCUUCUGGAAACGGGUGGUAAUACCUCAUGACAUAAUUGAAGGGCAUCCUUUAAUUAUCAAAGAUUUAUCACUCAAAGAUGGGCUCGCGUCUGAUUAGAUAGUUGGUGAGGUAACGGCUCACCAAGUCGACGAUCAGUAGCCGGACUGAGAGGUUGAACGGCCACAUUGGGACUGAGACACGGCCCAGACUCCUACGGGAGGCAGCAGUGGGGAAUAUUGCACAAUGGGGGAAACCCUGAUGCAGCGAUGCCGCGUGGAGGAAGAAGGUUUUCGGAUUGUAAACUCCUGUCUUAAAGGACGAUAAUGAC